GGCCUAACACAUGCAAGUCGAGGGGUAGCAGGAUUAAGCUUGCUUAAUUGCUGACGACCGGCGCACGGGUGCGUAACGCGUAUGCAACCUACCUUAUACUGGGGUAUAGCCCGGAGAAAUUCGGAUUAAUCCCCCAUAGUACUGUUUAAUCGCAUGGUUGAACAGUUAAAGCAUUGCGGUAUAAGAUGGGCAUGCGUCCUAUUAGCUAGACGGUGAGGUAACGGCUCACCAUGGCUACGAUAGGUAGGGGGCCUGAGAGGGUGGUCCCCCACACUGGUACUGAGACACGGACCAGACUCCUACGGGAGGCAGCAGUGAGGAAUAUUGGUCAAUGGGCGCAAGCCUGGACCAGCCAUGCCGCGUGCAGGAAGAAUGCCCUAUGGGUUGUUUUCUGC
rnacentral:rRNA from 1 species